rnacentral:rRNA from 1 species
CCCUUAGAUGUUCUGGGCGGCCCGCGCACUACAUUGGCACUCUCAAUAAGUUCCUAGAUCUAAAACUUUGGGGUAUUCUAUUAAGUGGUGUCGUGACUGGGAUUAACCCUUGCAAUUAUUGGUUACGAACGAGGAAUUCCUUGUAAUCGCGGUUUAUCAGCCCGCGUUGAAUGCGUCCCUGCCCUUUGUACACACCGCCCGUCGCUCCUACCGAUGAAUCGUCCGGUGAAGUUCAUGGAGUGGUGGUUGUUCCAGCUGCUGUCGAAGUGAAAUGGACCUCACGAUUUAGAGGAAGGAGAAGUCAUAACA